rnacentral:rRNA from 1 species
UUGGAGGGCAAGUCUGGUGCCAGCAGCCGCGGUAAUUCCAGCUCCAAUAGCGUAUAUUAAAGUUGUUGCAGUUAAAAAGCUCGUAGUUGAAUUUCGGGAUCAGUUGGUCGGUCGUGCCUCGGUACGUACUGGUCAAAUUGAUUCCUACCUUCUGACGAACCACGAUGUCAUUAAUUUGGUGUCGCGGGAAAUCAGGACUGUUACUUUGAAAAAAUUAGAGUGUUUAAAGCAGGCUCGCGCUUGAAUACAUUAGCAUGGAAUAAUGAAAUAGGACGUUUGAUUCUAUUUUGUUGGUUUCUAGGAUCGACGUAAUGAUUAAUAGGGAUAGUUGGGGGCAUUAGUAUUCAAUUGUCAGAGGUGAAAUUCUUGGAUUUAUUGAAGACUAGCUACUGCGAAAGCAUUUGCCAAGGAUGUUUUCAUUAAUCAAGAACGAAAGUUAGGGGAUCGAAGACGAUCAGAUACCGUCGUAGUCUUAACCAUAAACUAUGCCGACUAGGGAUCGGAUGAUGUUAAUUUUUUAAUGACUCAUUCGGCGCCUUACGGGAAAC